rnacentral:tRNA from 1 species
UGGCGCAGUGGUUAAAGCACUCAGCUGUUAACUGAAAGGUCGGUGGUUCGAACCCACC